CGCUACACUGACACACGCAACGAGUCUUCCUUGUCCGAAAGGUCUGGGUAAUCUUGUAAAUGUGUGUCGUGAUAGGGAUAGAUUAUUGCAAUUAUUAAUCUUGAACGAGGAAUUCCUAGUAAAUGCGGGUCAUCAGCUCGCGUUGAUUACGUCCCUGCCCUUUGUACACACCGCCCGUCGCACCUACCGAUUGAAUGAUUCGGUGAAACUUUCGGACCGCGGUGGAGAUACCUCUGGUAACUCCGUCAUGGGAAGUUAUUUAAACCUCAUCAUUUAGAGGAAGGUGAAGUCGUAACAAGGUUUCCGUAGGUGAACCUGCGGAAGGAUCA
rnacentral:rRNA from 1 species